AUAUUCCACAUUUUUUAAAUUCGGCUAAAUAUCCAGAAAGGAGCCUCAGUUUUGAACUCAUAAUUUUAUCCGGUAGAUUAGUUAAUUUUCUAUAUUACUGGCUAAUUUUAAAGAUACUCUUUGCUUGGAUUCUGGCUAAAUGAAAGUUUAAACGAAAAAAUUCAAAGCUAAAACGUAAAAUGGCAUGAAUUUGUUGCUUGUCAACCGGUGGUGGACAUGUUUUAGAAAUAUUUAGGCAUACGAUUCCCGAUAUCUAUUCUUGGUGUCUUUAAGAAAACCUUAAAUUAACGUUCCUACGAAAAAUCCCUCCACGAAGAGAGGAUAUCGCACCACGAAAAGGAGAAAAAAUCCCAAAUCCCAUUCACACCACACAUAUUAUCUCAUCUAUCGAUACAUCUAUCGAAAUUCAAAACUCAAAACAGCACCGCGCUUUUUCAAUUUUCAAAAGUUUUAUUUAUAAAAAAUGCUUGUUAAUGUUGGUAAAUCAAGUAUGAAAUCAUCAUAUAGCUAUAGUGUUGUAAUUGACAAAUGAUUAAUAACAUGUUUUUGAGUAGCGAAACGUUUUACAUUUGAAGAUAUAUGUAUAUGUAUUUUUGUUUGAUGAAUUUCCAUUACAAAAGUUGCGUUCUGCAGAGUUUUAACAAAGUAAAGCUACUAAACUUAAAUCACAGAUAACACUAAAGUGUUUGUUACGAUAUAUGUGGGUAUGUAUGUAUAUAUAGGCUGCUAUAUAUGUAUGCGUGGUCUUCUGGUCAAAUCGGUUGUUACAGGGCCGCUUUGCACUCCUAUGGACUCCUUUUUCGUGUGUGGGAAUCAUAGAAAUAACAAGACUUGGACUUAAGUUUAAGUUAGAAAAACGCUAAAACUAUAGAAAAAUUGUGUGAGUGUGUGUAUUUUAACUGUAAUUGCAAGUGCAUUUUGCACGUUCCUCCUACUCCUUCGAUCUUCAUUGUUAAAUGCUUAAGUACUAC